rnacentral:misc_RNA from 1 species
CUGAUUUUAAAUUCUUUCUGGACAAGAGUGUUAGUUUGCUCAUUUUCAAUAUUCAUACAUCAUCAAUAAUCAAAUUUCCGAUGUAUCCAAAAAAAAAAAUCACUUUUCUAUUGCACUUAAAAACCCAUAUCAAAGGCUGUUUGACUAGCUCCCCUGGCCCUACCAAUUUACAGAAAUAUGGUCGAUAUACUCAAUAACGUAAGGCAUGAAAACAACUAGGGAACAACGUUCUUCAUCUUGCAGCUAACAAUGUAAUGGUAAUUUCAUUUGCUGAACAUGUAUCAACCUUGCUAGAGGAUGAUUCGUGCUCAAAAACUCUCCUUUCAGUGAAAAAACCAGGCUCUUUAGGUUGAGGCAAUGCAAUCUCACUACUUAGCAUCAAUAUCACUGUUGACAUGUUAGGCCUAUCUUCUGGACUUUGUUGUACACAUAAUAAACCAACAUGGAUUGAACGCAUCACUUGAGAUAAAAUGCAAGAAUCCUUUAAAGAUUCAUCGAUCAACUCCGAUGACUUCUCUUCUAAAUAGAGUCUCCAUGCCUGAAAAUUUCAGAAAUGAUUAAUUCCAUUAUGCAGUUGACAUAGGAAAAUAUGAUGUAAUGUUCUUCGAGUUGAAACUUACAUGCCCAAGAAGGUUGUGCUGGUGGUCUGGAUGAUAGAAUCCUCUAUUUCUCUUCCCAUUGACUAUCUCUAGCACUAAUACACCAAAACUAAAUACAUCUGAUUUUAUUGAAAAUAGACCAUCAAUUGCAUACUCUGGAGACAUGUAACCACUGCAAAGAGUUGUUGUUGGAAGUUAAUGAUUUUCAAGUACUAAUAGAUUGAUUAGAUGUGUUAGGUCUAAAUAGACUUACUAUGUUCCGACAACUCUUUUUGUGUUUCCUUGAAUUUCAUUUCCCCCAAAACUCCUUGCCAUGCCAAAAUCUGAAAUU